CCUACGGGUGGCAGCAGUGGGGAAUAUUGCACAAUGGGGGCAACCCUGAUGCAGCGACGCCGCGUGAAGGAUGAAGUCUUUCGGUAUGUAAACUUCUAUCAGCAGGGAAGAAAAUGACGGUACCUGACUAAGAAGCCCCGGCUAACUACGUGCCAGCAGCCGCGGUAAUACGUCGGGGGCAAGCGUUAUCCGGAUUUACUGGGUGUAAAGGGAGCGUAGACGGUAUGGCAAGUCUGAUGUGAAAACCCGGGGCUCAACCCCGGGACUGCAUUGGAAACUGCCGAACUAGAGUGUCGGAGAGGCAAGUGGAAUUCCAAGUGUAGCGGUGAAAUGCGUAGAGAUUAGGAGGAACACCAGUGGCGAAGGCGGCUUGCUGGACGAUGACUGACGCUGAGGCGCGAAAGCGUGGGGAGCAAACAGGAUUAGAUACCCGAGUAGUC
rnacentral:rRNA from 1 species